AGUUACAAAGAUUAAAAAGACACUCCUGGAACACAGCUGAUACAAAGUUCCUACCUUGAUCGGAAUGCAACUCCUGGGGCACCCCGAACCGACAGAAGAACUGAUUUACUAACACUUGUGCAACAGAUGUGACUUCCUGAUCACGGAUGGCAUAGGCCUCAGGCCACUUUGUGAAGUAGUCCAUGGUCACACAUAUGUACUUAUUUCCUCUUUCCGUGAGUGGCAACAGUCCAGCAAUAUCCACAG